rnacentral:rRNA from 1 species
GACGAACGCUGGCGGCGUGCUUAACACAUGCACGUCCAACGAAGUGGCGAACGGGCGAGUAACGCGUAAUAAACCUGCCCUUCAGAGGGGGACAACAGAUGGAAACGCGUGCUAAUACCGCAUACUGCAGGAGGGGAUUGCGGCUGAUUAGCUAGGUGGAGGGGUAAGGGCCUACCAAGGCGACGAUCAGUAACGGGGCUGAGAGUAUGCUCCGCCACACUGUGACUGAGACACGGCCCAGACUCCUACGGGAGGCAGCAGUGGGGAAUUUUGGACAAUGUGCGCAAGCCUGAUCCAGCCAUGCCGCGUGUCUGAAGAAGGCCUUCGGGUUGUAAAGGACUUUUGUCAGGGAAGCGGUACCUGAAGAAUAAGCACCUGCUAACUACGUGCCAGCAGCCGCGGUAAUAC